rnacentral:rRNA from 1 species
AUUGAACGCUGGCGGCAGGCUUAACACAUGCAAGUCGAGCGGGGACUUCGGUCCUAGCGGCGAACGGGUGAGGAAUGCUUGGGAAUCUGCCCAGUAGCGGGGGAUAACGUUUCGAAAGGAACGCUAAUACCGCAUACGCCCUACGGGGGAAAGGGGGGGAUCUUCGGACCUCUCACUAUUGGAUGAGCCCAAGUCGGAUUAGCUAGUUGGUGGGGUAAAGGCCUACCAAGGCGACGAUCCGUAGCUGGUCUGAGAGGAUGAUCAGCCACACUGGAACUGAGACACGGUCCAGACUCCUACGGGAGGCAGCAGUGGGGAAUAUUGGACAAUGGGCGAAAGCCUGAUCCAGCCAUGCCGCGUGUGUGAAGAAGGCCUUCGGGUUGUAAAGCCCUUUAGACUGGGAAGAAGGUUAUGGGACGAAUAAUUCUGUAGCUUGACGGUACUGGUAGAAUAAGCACCGGCAAACUCUGUGCCAGCCGCCGCCGUAAUAC